AAGCAGCAACUGCCGAACAAUUCGAUUUAAUAAAUCAUAAUGCGUUUAGCCUGAUCUAAAAAGGUCCAAUUAGGGCCAAAUAGGGCAAAUCCAAGGGCUCUUAUUAGAACGCAGAUGCCAAACAUAUUUGGACGACGAUGCCGUCCUUCGGCAGACAAAUAUUUACCAGAUAUUUGCCCCAAAGAUUAGCAAAGGCUUGCGGUUGCUAACGGCGUUUUGGGGCACCCAGAGGAAUCCAUCAAGGGAUCAUCAAUUCGAAGUGACGUAUUGCGUUUUCGGAGGCCCAGACUCCAGAGCUCUGGAAUGUGCGGACGCAGACCCCAAAAAAUAAUGCCUAACUAAGAGAACGAAGAGAUGUUGAAAAGAAGCCAAUAAAACAUCAACACGACCAGAAUGAUAACAACUAAGUAAACGUCUGUCACUCAGUCGACCUGGCCAGAAUUUUGAUCAGCCGAAAAGAGAAGAUCAAAGGAGAUGCACAGGAAAAAACAUAUAAUAUCGAG
ensembl:ncRNA lncRNA:CR44337 long non-coding RNA:CR44337